GGAGCUGUGGCAUAGUGGGUAAAGCUGAUGCCUGCAGGGCAGGCAUCCCAUGUGGGCGCUGGUUCGAGUCCUGGCUGCUCCU
rnacentral:tRNA from 1 species